rnacentral:rRNA from 1 species
AUUGAACGCUGGCGGCAUGCUUUACACAUGCAAGUCGAACGGCAGCGCGGGCCUCGGCCUGGCGGCGCGUGGCGAACGGGUGAGUAAUGCAUCGGAACGUGCCCAGUAGUGGGGGAUAGCCCGGCGACAGCCGGAUUAAUACCGCAUACGACCUGAGGGUGAAAGCGGGGGACCGAAAGGCCUCGCGCUAUUGGAGCGGCCGAUGUCGGAUUAGCUAGUUGGUGGGGUAAAGGCUUACCAAGGCGACGAUCCGUAGCUGGUCUGAGAGGACGACCAGCCACACUGGGACUGAGACACGGCCCAGACUCCUACGGGAGGCAGCAGUGGGGAAUUUUGGACAAUGGGGGCAACCCUGAUCCAGCCAUGCCGCGUGCGGGAAGAAGGCCUUCGGGUUGUAAACCGCUUUUGUUCGGGAAGAAAUACUCUGGGCUAAUACCCCGGGGGGAUGACGGUACCGGAAGAAUAAGCACCGGCUAACUACGUG